UCCCUGAGUGGCAUCACCUAUAGGAAUCUCUUUCACGAUCCACAUGGAAAGAGUUCCAAUUCAGGGUUCGGGUUCUGGAGAAGGGCCACACACAAAUGAAGAGACUUGAUACUUGAAGAAAUUCAAGUUGGCGAUACAGGGGGCCAGGUGGUAGUCCAACUCUAGUGGGAGAACUACUCCUGCUCUGGCCCUGCCAUCCCUUUUAUUGAGGCUUUGGGAAAACAUCUUAGGCAACAUAAAUAGAAAUUUAC